GUUUCAUCUCUUUAUUGCUGCAGAAAUCUCACCACCAAUAUGUUACUGUUGAAUUUCAAUCAACAUCUUUUUCGUCUUACUUUGCAGAAUUUUGGCAUCCCAGAGAUUCAGUCAGCCCUACCUUGCAAGGAAAAAAAAAAAUGUUUUUUCCACAGCAG